rnacentral:misc_RNA from 1 species
AAGUCGUAACAAGGUCUCCGUUGGUGAACCAGCGGAGGGAUCAUUACUGAGUUAUUAAAACUCCAAACCCUUUGUGAACCUUACUGUCGUUGCCUCGGCGUGAGCUACGGCUACCCUGUAGUUACCCUAUAGCUACCCUGCAGCUACCCUAUAGUUGACCAGUGGCUACCCUGUAGUUACCCUAUAGUUACCCUGCAGCUACCCUAUAGUUGACCAGUAGCUACCCUGUAGCCGGCUUAUGGCCCGCCGAAGGACCGCUAAACUCUUGUUUUUUACCACUGUUUCUCUGAAUUGUAAACUUAAAUAAGUUAAAACUUUCAACAACGGAUCUCUUGGUUCUG